rnacentral:rRNA from 1 species
UACGUAGGUGGCAAGCGAUACUCGGAAUCACUAGGCGUAAAGCGCAGGUAGGAGGUUUAGUAAGUCUGUUGUGAAAGCUCCCGGCUUAACUGGGAGAGGUCAACGGAAACUGCUAGGCUAGAGUGCGGUAGAGGUAGCUGGAAUUCCCGGUGUAGCGGUGAAAUGCGUAGAUAUCGGGAGGAAUACCUAUGGCGAAAGCAGGCUACUGGACCGUCACUGACUCUGAUCUGCGAAAGCUAGGGGAGCAAACAGG